UACGGGGGGAGCAAGCGUUGUUCGGAUUUACUGGGCGUAAAGGGCGCGUAGGCGGCCACCGCAAGUCGACUGUGAAAUCUCCGGGCUUAACUCGGAAAGGUCAGCCGAUACUGCGGGGCUAGAGUGCAGAAGGGGCAACUGGAAUUCUCGGUGUAGCGGUGAAAUGCGUAGAUAUCGAGAGGAACACCUGCGGCGAAGGCGGGUUGCUGGGCUGACACUGACGCUGAAGUGCGAAAGCGAGGGGAGCGAACGGG
rnacentral:rRNA from 1 species